GAUGAAGAACGCAGCGAAAUGCGAUAAGUAAUGUGAAUUGCAGAAUUCAGUGAAUCAUCGAAUCUUUGAACGCACCUUGCGCUCCUUGGUAUUCCGAGGAGCAUGCCUGUUUGAGUGUCAUUAAUAUUAUCAACCUUUUGGGUUGGAUUUGGGUUUGCUGGCCUCUAUCAGGUCAGCUCCCCUUAAAUGCAUUAGCAGACAACAUUUUGCCAAAUGUUCAUUGGUGUGAUAAUUAUCUACGCUAUUGACAUGAAGCAAAGGUUCAGCUUCUAACUGUCCAUUGACUUGGACAACUUUAUUAAUGUGACCUCAAAUCAGGUAGGACUACCCGCUGAACUUAAGCAUAUCAAUAAGCGGAGGA
rnacentral:misc_RNA from 1 species